GGAAUUUUUCUCUUCAAAGGUCUUUAGGUGUAAAUUGAUGCCAUCAUAGGCAAGAGCUGCAGGAGAAUAUCUGGCAAGGUGCAUUUAAUAUUUGGAAAAAAGAUAUGACCAGUAACCUAUUUUAGGAAGAAAAUAAGCAUAACCUGGCAUCAGAUCCCCUACCAGGUCGGGCCUGAUGAGGAUACUCAACUGCACAUGAGCGAUGAUACUGUGUAUCCAGCUAAAAGAGAAAAGAGGAGACACUUCUUAUGAUGCAUCUUCUCACAAAGGAUAAUAUUUUAGCAGGUUCACAGGAAAACCUUGAAAACAGUGUAAAAGACAUAGACUACCAGCUUGAGGGAAAAGUCAGCUGAGUGCACUGUGUUGGAUUUCAAGUAGAAAAUCCCAAGCCAGAUGCCCAGAAAGCCAUUUAUUGUAAAAAUUGCAGAUUCUUCAAUGUUAUUACUAUGCCGUUAAGAAAAUCAGGAUUUAUAAAUAAUCCAUAUGGUUUAAUAUUUCAGUUAGUUCUAAGGGGUUCAUCUGAUUUCUUUUUGUUGGCUGCUGCAUAUAUUUUAAAUGAAUGCUUUCAUUUAAAAAACCAGCCUUUUCAGCAACAUUGAAAUACUUAUGACUUUACCACCAUAUUGAAACUUAACUUUACAUUUACUUUUUAGCAUUACGAAAUGCAGAUAUUUCAGUUACCUCAAGGAAUUAAAAAAUGUAGAGAUACGACUAAAAUAUUAAAAUGCAAAUAUCAAAUAAAGCUAUAUAUGAC
rnacentral:sRNA from 1 species